rnacentral:lncRNA from 1 species
AUGAGGUGGCAAGGAAUCUCUGAAAUGUGCUUGAUCCUCUUUGGGAGCCUGAAGCGUGAGUCACUGCUGUGGCUAGAACGUGACUCACUCCUGCCACUCUUUAGGCCCGUGACAGAUCACAGAAAAUUUGACAACAGCUCCCAGUACCUCCCAGCCAGCAUGGCCUGA